rnacentral:rRNA from 1 species
CUUUUCUUGUUAGUUUUUGAAGUAUGGCCUGCCCGCUGACUUUUAGUUGAAGGGCCGCGGUAUUUUGACCGUGCAAAGGUAGCAUAAUCAUUAGUUCUUUAAUUGUGAUCUGGAAUGAAUGGCUUGACGAGAUGCGAGCUGUCUUAAAUUUGAAUGUUUUAUUGAAUUUGGUUUUUGAGUUAAAAUUCUUAGAUGUUUUUAUGGGACGAGAAGACCCUAUAGAGUUUGACAUGUUGGUUUGCUUGUUUGUUUGUCGUUUGUUUUGUUUUUGAUAAGUGGGCUUUGUGUUUUGUUGGGGUGAUGAGAGGAAUAUGAUUUAACUCCUCUUGGUUUAGUGGUUAUAUUGAUUUAUAUUUAUUUGAUCCAUUUAUUUUGAUUAUAAGAUUAAAUUACC